GGCUGCUUCGAGUGCAGUGGUGUUUACAACUAAUUGAUCACAACCAGUUACAGAUUUCUUUGUUCCUUCUCCACUCCCACUGCUUCACUUGACUAGCCUUCU
ensembl:misc_RNA Y_RNA Y RNA